UUAUGACGAAUCAUAGCAUCCGUCCCUUCCCUCCUCUACCCCUGUAAUGUUUAUGCGCCAGUCUCCCCGCGGAGCCCUACGUAUGACGUCACGUCCUUCGAACGUGACGCCCGAGCCCACCUCCUCCUUCUCAGCACCCUAUAUAAAGCCCCCACAGCAACUAGGAACUGGCGUGCAGCACAGGCUACACCCCCCGGGACACACGAUAUUCCUUCUUCGCAGAGGUAUGCAUCUGUUACUUUGUAGGACUCGAAUUUAUUUAUGUAAUCGUCAUACAUCAUGGCCUGCCGCCAACCAUAGGAAAUCGUAUUUUUUCUUUUCCUAUUAGGCCGUCUUGAGUUUUAUCUCACAAGCUAUACAUCUCCUAUACACCUGCGAUCCCAUUUGGGUUUUUCGAUGCACGUGGAUGGAUAGCAGUCUUACUGGUAUUGUUUUUUGAGAUUUUUUGCAUGUCGGCUCUCGGUGUUUUAACCUAUUUUGGUAAAUUUCCUUAUGUUUUUUGUACAUUACAAGCUUUUCAUAUCUCAUUUCAGACUUAUGAUACUAGUAAUAUUCUAUUGUCAAAAACUCUCUCUCAAACUUGUCCUGAAGAAGCCGCUAGGCAAAACGCGUAGGCGAGAUGAAAGAUAAUAUUGCCUGUGAAUGUAUAUCCUGUACUGUUUCACUGUAUUUUAUUGAAGUUAUUGUAUGUAAUAAUUUUUUGUAAUUAAAUUUAUAAUUUUUCUAAA